GAUGAAGAACGCAGCGAAAUGCGAUAAGUAAUGUGAAUUGCAGAAUUCAGUGAAUCAUCGAAUCUUUGAACGCACCUUGCGCCCUUUGGCUAUUCCAAAGGGCAUGCCUGUUUGAGUAUCAUGAACACCUCAACUCUCAUGGUCUGCCAUGAUGAGCUUGGACUUUGGAGGUCUGCUGGCCUGUGGUCAGCUCCUCUCAAAUGAAUCAGCUUUCCGGUGUUUGGUGGCAUCAUGGGUGUGAUAAAUAUCUACGCUUGUGGUUUUCCACCAGGUAACCUUCAGUGAUGGGGGUUCGCUGGGGCUCAUAAAUGUCUAUCCUCAGCGAAGACAGCUUUGUGAAUGUUUGAUCUCAAAUCAGGUAGGACUACCCGCUGAACUUAAGCAUAUCAAUAAGCGGAGGA
rnacentral:misc_RNA from 1 species